rnacentral:lncRNA from 1 species
CGCGGUGAGGGUGCUGUAGGACCUCCACGGUGUCCAGGACAGCAGCCGCCAGCCACCUGUGGUCAGUUGGAAUUGAACUGUGGAUGGCGUGAGGGCAGAAGUAAAAUUUUAAUCUGAUUUAAAUUUAAUUAAGUUCAAAUUAAUUCGCCACAUAUGGCUGGUGGCCGCCAUAUUGGACAGCCAGAGUGUGCAGAGAGGGCUGCGGGGGUCCCACUGGAGAAGGACUGAGUGCCAAGAGGAGCCAGGAGGCUGCUUUCCCAACACCUCAGUCUACUACUUUGGGGGUACCCAGCUGCGUUGAGAUGGCACCACAGUGCCAUAAAGACAGCAGGGGCCUACUGUUUCCACUGUGUAGAGCCUGGAGGUGAACACUAGGUGCCCUCACUGGGACCGCCAUUAUGACUGCCACCCACCAACGAUGACCUUGGAAAGGUCACGUGACCUUCCUGAACCUGAAUUUCAUCAUAUAUGAAAGGAGAGCAGUACCAUCUGCCUUGAGCCUGCUGGAGCACUGCGUGAGGAAGGCACCACGGCUCUG